rnacentral:rRNA from 1 species
GCCAGACUCCUACGGGAGGCAGCAGUGGGGAAUAUUGCACAAUGGGGGAAACCCUGAUGCAGCAACGCCGCGUGAGUGAAGAAGUCAUUCGUGAUGUAAAGCUCUAUCAGCAGGGAAGAAAAUGACGGUACCUGAGUAAGAAGCCCCGGCUAACUACGUGCCAGCAGCCGCGGUAAUACGUAGGGGGCAAGCGUUAUCCGGAUUUACUGGGUGUAAAGGGGGCGCAGACGGCAGCGCAAGCCAGGAGUGAAAGCCCGGGGCCCAACCCCGGGACUGCUCUUGGAACUGCGCGGCUGGAGUGCAGGAGGGGCAGGCGGAAUUCCUGGUGUAGCGGUGAAAUGCGUAGAUAUCAGGAGGAACACCGGCGGCGAAGGCGGCCUGCUGGACCGUGACUGACGUUGAGGCUCGAGAGCGUGGGGAGCAAACAGGAUUAGAUACCCCCGUAACA